UACGUAGGGUGCGAGCGUUGCCCGGAUUUAUUGGGCGUAAAGGGCGCGUAGGCGGCUCUGCACGUCCGUUGUGAAAUCGCCCGGCUCAACUGGGCGGGGUCAGCGGAUACGGCGGAGCUUGAGCAAGCUAGGGGGCAAUGGAAUUCCCGGUGUAGUGGUGGAAUGCGUAGAUAUCGGGAGGAACACCAGUGGCGAAGGCGGUUCUCUGGGCCUGUACUGACGCUGAGGAGCGAAAGCGUGGGGAGCGAACAGG
rnacentral:rRNA from 1 species